rnacentral:miRNA from 1 species
UCCCUACACGGCUCCUAAGAU